AGAGUUUGAUCAUGGCUCAGAACGAACGCUGGCGGCGUGCCUAACACAUGCAAGUCGAACGAGAAAUUCCGACUUCGGUUGGAAGAGUAAAGUGGCGCACGGGUGAGUAACGCGUGGGUAACCUACCCCUGAAUUUGGGAUAACUUCGCGAAAGCGUUGCUAAUACCGAAUACUGUCCCAUUGGCGGCUAGUCUUUGGGAUGAAAGGUGACCUCUUCAUGAAAGUUGCCGUUGAGGGAUGGGCCCGCGUACCAUUAGCUUGUUGGUAGGGUAAUGGCCUACCAAGGCGACGAUGGUUAGCUGGUCUGAGAGGAUGAUCAGCCACACUGGAACUGGAACACGGUCCAGACUCCUACGGGAGGCAGCAGUGAGGAAUUUUGCGCAAUGGGGGAAACCCUGACGCAGCAACGCCGCGUGAGUGAAGAAGGCCUUCGGGUUGUAAAGCUCUGUCAAGUGGGAAAAAAGUCUCGCUGUGAAUAGCUGCGAGAUCUGAUGGUACCACUAAAGGAAGCACCGGCUAACUCCGUGCCAGCAGCCGCGGUAAUACGGAGGGUGCAAGCGUUGUUCGGAAUUACUGGGCGUAAAGCGCGUGCAGGCGGUUUGGCAAGUCAGAUGUGAAAGCCCUGGGCUCAACCCAGGAAGUGCAUUUGAAACUGCUUUUCUUGAGUAUGGGAGAGGAGAGUGGAAUUCCCAGUGUAGAGGUGAAAUUCGUAGAUAUUGGGAGGAACACCCGUGGCGAAGGCGACUCUCUGGACCAAUACUGACGCUGAGACGCGAAAGCGUGGGGAGCAAACAGGAUUAGAUACCCUAGUAGUCC
rnacentral:rRNA from 1 species